rnacentral:rRNA from 1 species
GGGGAGCAGCCCAGAGCCUGAAUCAGUAUGUGUGUUAGUGGAAGCGUCUGGAAAGGCGCGCGAUACAGGGUGACAGCCCCGUACACAAAAAUGCACAUGCUGUGAGCUCGAUGAGUAGGGCGGGACACGUGGUAUCCUGUCUGAAUAUGGGGGGACCAUCCUCCAAGGCUAAAUACUCCUGACUGACCGAUAGUGAACCAGUACCGUGAGGGAAAGGCGAAAAGAACCCCGGCGAGGGGAGUGAAAAAGAACCUGAAACCGUGUACGUACAAGCAGUGGGAGCACGCUUAGGCGUGUGACUGCGUACCUUUUGUAUAAUGGGUCAGCGACUUAUAUUCUGUAGCAAGGUUAACCGAAUAGGGGAGCCGAAGGGAAACCGAGUCUUAACUGGGCGUUAAGUUGCAGGGUAUAGACCCGAAACCCGGUGAUCUAGCCAUGGGCAGGUUGAAGGUUGGGUAACACUAACUGGAGGACCGAACCGACUAAUGUUGAAAAAUUAGCGGAUGACUUGUGGCUGGGGGUGAAAGGCCAAUCAAACCGGGAGAUAGCUGGUUCUCCCCGAAAGCUAUUUAGGUAGCGCCUCGUGAAUUCAUCUCCGGGGGUAGAGCACUGUUUCGGCAAGGGGGUCAUCCCGACUUACCAACCCGAUGCAAACUGCGAAUACCGGAGAAUGUUAUCACGGGAGACACACGGCGGGUGCUAACGUCCGUCGUGAAGAGGGAAACAACCCAGACCGCCAGCUAAGGUCCCAAAGUCAUGGUUAAGUGGGAAACGAUGUGGGAAGGCCCAGACAGCCAGGAUGUUGGCUUAGAAGCAGCCAUCAUUUAAAGAAAGCGUAAUAGCUCACUGGUCGAGUCGGCCUGCGCGGAAGAUGUAACGGGGCUAAACCAUGCACCGAAGCUGCGGCAGCGACGCUGAUGCGUUGUUGGGUAGGGGAGCGUUCUGUAAGCCUGCGAAGGUGUGCUGUGAGGCAUGCUGGAGGUAUCAGAAGUGCGAAUGCUGACAUAAGUAACGAUAAAGCGGGUGAAAAGCCCGCUCGCCGGAAGACCAAGGGUUCCUGUCCAACGUUAAUCGGGGCAGGGUGAGUCGACCCCUAAGGCGAGGCCGAAAGGCGUAGUCGAUGGGAAACAGGUUAAUAUUCCUGUACUUGGUGUUACUGCGAAGGGGGGACGGAGAAGGCUAUGUUGGCCGGGCGACGGUUGUCCCGGUUUAAGCGUGUAGGCUGGUUUUCCAGGCAAAUCCGGAAAAUCAAGGCU